rnacentral:rRNA from 1 species
CGCUAGCUACAGGCUUAACACAUGCAAGUCGAGGGGCAUCAGGAAGAAAGCUUGCUUUCUUUGCUGGCGACCGGCGCACGGGUGAGUAACACGUAUCCAACCUGCCCUUUACUCGGGGAUAGCCUUUCGAAAGAAAGAUUAAUACCCGAUAGCAUAAUGAUUCCGCAUGGUUUCAUUAUUAAAGGAUUCCGGUAAAGGAUGGGGAUGCGUUCCAUUAGGUUGUUGGUGAGGUAACGGCCCACCAAGCCUUCGAUGGAUAGGGGUUCUGAGAGGAAGGUCCCCCACAUUGGAACUGAGACACGGUCCAAACUCCUACGGGAGGCAGCAGUGAGGAAUAUUGGUCAAUGGGCGCUAGCCUGAACCAGCCAAGUAGCGUGAAGGAUGAAGGCUCUAUGGGUCGUAAACUUCUUUUAUAUAAGAAUAAAGUGCAGUAUGUAUACUGUUUUGUAUGUAUUAUAUGAAUAAGGAUCGGCUAACUCCGUGCCAGCAGCCGCGGUAAUACGGAGGAUCCGAGCGUUAUCCGGAUUUAUUGGGUUUAAAGGGAGCGUAGGUGGACUGGUAAGUCAGUUGUGAAAGUUUGCGGCUCAACCGUAAAAUUGCAGUUGAUACUGUCAGUCUUGAGUACAGUAGAGGUGGGCGGAAUUCGUGGUGUAGCGGUGAAAUGCUUAGAUAUCACGAAGAACUCCGAUUGCGAAGGCAGCUCACUGGACUGCAACUGACACCGAUGCUCGAAAGUGUGGGUAUCAAACAGGAUUAGAUACCCUGGUAGUCCACACAGUAAACGAUGAAUACUCGCUGUUUGCGAUAUACAGUAAGCGGCCAAGCGAAAGCAUUAAGUAUUCCACCUGGGGAGUACGCCGGCAACGGUGAAACUCAAAGGAAUUGACGGGGGCCCGCACAAGCGGAGGAACAUGUGGUUUAAUUCGAUGAUACGCGAGGAACCUUACCCGGGCUUAAAUUGCAGUGGAAUGAUGUGGAAACAUGUCAGUGAGCAAUCACCGCUGUGAAGGUGCUGCAUGGUUGUCGUCAGCUCGUGCCGUGAGGUGUCGGCUUAAGUGCCAUAACGAGCGCAACCCUUAUCUUUAGUUACUAACAGGUUAUGCUGAGGACUCUAGAGAGACUGCCGUCGUAAGAUGUGAGGAAGGUGGGGAUGACGUCAAAUCAGCACGGCCCUUACGUCCGGGGCUACACACGUGUUACAAUGGGGGGUACAGAAGGCAGCUAGCGGGUGACCGUAUGCUAAUCCCAAAAUCCUCUCUCAGUUCGGAUCGAAGUCUGCAACCCGACUUCGUGAAGCUGGAUUCGCUAGUAAUCGCGCAUCAGCCACGGCGCGGUGAAUACGUUCCCGGGCCUUGUACACACCGCCCGUCAAGCCAUGGGAGCCGGGGGUACCUGAAGUACGUAACCGCAAGGAUCGUCCUAGGGUAAAACUGGUGACUGGGGC